rnacentral:rRNA from 1 species
UACAGAGGGGGCAAGCGUUGUUCGGAAUUACUGGGCGUAAAGGGCGCGUAGGCGGCCUGUUAAGUCGAACGUGAAAUCCCCGGGCUCAACCUGGGAACUGCAUUUGUGACUGCAUCGCUGGAGUGCGGUAGAGGGGGAUGGAAUUCCGCGUGUAGCAGUGAAAUGCGUAGAUAUCUGGAGGAACACCGGUGGCGAAGGCGGCAUCCUGGACCGACACUGACGCUGAGGCGCGAAAGCUAGGGUAGCAAACGGG